rnacentral:rRNA from 1 species
CCUACGGGUGGGCAGCAGUGAGGAAUAUUGGUCAAUGGGCGUAAGCCUGAACCAGCCAAGUCGCGUGAGGGAUGAAGGUUCUAUGGAUCGUAAACCUCUUUUAUAAGGGAAUAAAGUGUGGGACGUGUCCUGUUUUGUAUGUCCCUUAUGAAUAAGGAUCGGCUAACUCCGUGCCAGCAGCCGCGGUAAUACGGAGGAUCCGAGCGUUAUCCGGAUUUAUUGGGUUUAAAGGGUGCGUAGGCGGCCUUUUAAGUAAGUGGUGAAAGUCUGUGGCUCAACCAUAGAAUUGCCGUUGAAACUGGGAGGCUGGAGUAUGUUUGAGGCAGGCGGAAUGCGUGGUGUAGCGGUGAAAUGCUUAGAUAUCACGCAGAACACCGAUGGCGAAGGCAGCCGGCCAAGCCAUGACUGACGCUGAUGCACGAAAGCGUGGGGAUCAAACAGGAUUAGAUACCCUAGUAGUC